rnacentral:rRNA from 1 species
UACGGAGGGAGCAAGCGUUACUCGGAAUUAUUGGGCGUAAAGGGCGCGUAGGCGAUUCGAUAAGUCUCAUGUGAAAUCCCAGGGCCUAACCCUGGAAUGGCAUGGGAUACUGUUGGAUUUGAGUUCCGGAGAGGAAGGCAGAAUUCCCGGUGUAGCGGUGAAAUGCGUAGAUAUCAGGAGGAACACCGGUGGCGAAGGCGGGUCUCUGGGCCGAUACUGACGCUGAGGAGCGAAAGCGUGGGGAGCGAACAGG